CUGCAUCCACUGAUAGGCUAUUGAACAAUUUAUUCUUCUUUGGUUUGCACUAGGAUGCAAAUGGAAGAAAUCCUCAUGCUUUGUGGAGGCUCAGACUGAAUAAAUGAAUACAUCU
ensembl:snoRNA